UCGAUAGCCUCACUAGGGUUUAUUCAUAUGCGUGAGUUUACUUAAUUACAAUAACAUGCAAACAUUGCCACACUGCGGCACGUUAAUCUGAGGUUGAUCGUAUUGAGUAACCUCGGUGUGCGCUUGCAGGACGGCGAGCAAGCAGGAGAUCAUCAAGGCGUACCGGCGCGCGGCGCAGAAGUGGCACCCCGACAGCUACCACGGCGACGAGAAGAAGCUCGCCGAGAAGAAGUUCAUCGACAUCGCCGCCGCCAAAGAGGUGCUGACGGACCCGGAGAAGCGCGCGCAGUUCGACGCGGGCAGCGACCCGCUGGACCCCGAGGCGGCGCGCCAGGCGCCCUUCCACAGCCCCUUCCACCACUUCCAGCACGGCUCGCCCUUCCAGUUCAAGUUCCACUUCAACUAGCGCCCGACGCGCUCGGCCGCGACGCAAAUCGGCAACGUGACGUCCGAUUCCACCGCUCGUACAGUCAGCGUCUAGUUCGUGACACCCAAUGUGGCCAAAUGAGUAGAUAACACAACCUUAUUCUAAAGACGUGUUGCGAAUUUAUUGGCUGCUUUGGAUGUCACGAACUACCUAUUUGAAUUAAUCUUACAUCAAAUUCAAACACAAAAAUAAUGUAACUUUUCAAACAUCUAAUUUUAGUUUAAAAUAAAUAUCUGAAAAUAAAGUGGCGAGCAAUAUUCUGGCGUCAUUUCUAAUUAUGUACUUUAAUUUCACUAAGUCAAGAUAUAAAAUUCAACUAAGUCAAACUACUAAUUUAUUAAAAAAGUCACAAAAUAAUGUCAAGCAGAAAAAUCAAGGUAGAACAAAAGGUUUAAAGAUUAUCUAAAAGGUGUCCUAACUCUGGCGCAAUUUUCCCUUGACGCUAUCUCUGUGACUCCUUAUAAUCGCCAUCAGCUUAAACUCGUAAAAAAUACAAUAACAUCUCUAAAUUUAUAAAUUAAUACAUAGGUACCUACCUAAAUUUUGUUUACAAUUACAUAGUCUGUUUAUGUUUGUAAAUUUGCAAAACUAAAUCUUUUACACGUCUUAAUUUAUGUAGUUUUUUUAUCCUCCAAAAGUAAGACGUAUAAAUCAGAGGCAUUUUACUGUAUAACUAAUUGUGUGAUAUACAAAAUAUUUUCUUAAUCAAAUUAAUUUACUAAUUGAAAUAAAUUAAUGCAUUUGAUCUCCAAAUUCUUUUUAACAAGAUUGUAAACAAUUCGCAUGUUAACGCAAGCCUUACUUAUUGUGGGAGCCAUAGGCAUUAUGUGGGUGUGUGUUACGCAUUAUUCUUGCCAUUGCUUACGAAAGGAUAUCGUAUUGAAAUAACGUUGACAUGCGAGUUGUAAAAGCGUCUUCGCUGCUUGGAAUGUUCACUUAUACUAAUUGUUAUGAAGUACAAAAUUUCAUCGCUUCUUAUCAUAUAACAGGAUUUAAAAAUGCACUAAGUAACCUAAUAGAUAUUUAUUUAAAGCCACACAGUGUGAUCACAAGGAACCAGUACGAGCGGCGACCCUGCCCUCUUCCGAUCGAAUAUCAACGACUUCUCCAGUGCAGGGUCGCCGAUACCUUAAUAGUAAACUUUUUACAAAUUUUCAUCUAGCCUUAUUAGUGAUAUUUUAUAAAAAAAAAUAUAGAUAAAUCAAAUGUUAAUAUAUCUUACAACGGUGCUACGCUUGUUUGUGAAUAUCCGUCUGCAAAUGAGCAAUAUUAAAUUUAGACCCCCUAAGAAUCGCCGUAAGCGCCACUAAAUCUGCCCACAACAUAAGCGUAGCUCCGCUGUAACGGCGCGAAUGAAAAUAUCAGUCUGCAACGGAGUUCGUCAUCUGUCGUGUCACGAUACACAGAGGAGUAAUAUUUUAAUUUGCGCAUUGUUUGCCGCCCGCGUCCCUAUGUACAUAAUAGCACACAUAAUAAUAGGGUAGAUGACAUUAUUCAAUCUAAAAGAGAAAAACCAAAUAUUGCGUGACGAAUAUUAAUAUUAUUCCAUCAAAUCACAAGUAAUUCCAAUCAAGAUCAAUCUAAUUUGGAAUGACAUACAUUAGUGUAAUUUAAACGUUCUGACGUUAUUUAUUAUAAUGAUGACUCAAAAGUGAAUAUAACUAAUUACUGUGAUUUGUUGGAUGGAAA